UGGGAAAUAGCUCAGUUGUAGAGCACAUGCUUAGCAUACAUUGCAGUCCUGGGUUCAAUGCCCAGUUCCUCCA
rnacentral:tRNA from 1 species